AAUGAACGCUGGCGGCGUGCUUUACACAUGCAAGUUGAGCGAGGCCACCCGCAAGGGUGAGUCGAGCGGCGAACGGGUGAGUAACGCGUGGAUAACCUGCCCUGAGGUGGGGAAUAACCCGGGGAAACUCGGGCUAAUACCGCAUGAUACCAAGCGGUCAAAGGGGGCGUCGCAAGAGCUCCUGCCACAGGAGGGGUCCGCGUUCGAUUAGCUAGUUGGUAGGGUAAUGGCCUACCAAGGCGACGAUCGGUAGCUGGUCUGAGAGGACGACCAGCCACACUGGGACUGAGACACGGCCCAGACUCCUACGGGAGGCAGCAGGUGGGGAAUAUUGGACAAUGGGCGCAAGCCUGAUCCAGCGAUGCCGCGUGUGUGAAGAAGGCCUGC
rnacentral:rRNA from 1 species